UGAGUGGGUGGGUGGGAUAUGGACGGACGGACGGAGAGACGCAUGGAUGAGUGGGUGGGAUGCACGGGAAGAGCUUGGCGGAGCUCAGCUGCGGCCCGGCAAGUGUCUACGAACAGCGGCCCAGCAUCCUGUCAGCUCACCAACGCCAGAGUGUCUGGCCUGACAAGCCAGCCGGGCUGCGGAUGUCGCCCCUGAGGACCAGGCGCUGAGCCUCUAGCACCACCCCAGGUGCCCCCUCGCUCAGCCGCCCUGCCAGAGCAUCACUCCAUGCCAAAGCCCGGGGGCAGACGGCGUUCACAGCUUCAUCCUGCGCUGUGUAGGCACACGGGGCUCGUGAGAGCCCACGGUGACGCUGCCCAGGAGAGCUGAAGAAGUGGGAUGGCCUCUGGGAGCUGGCAGACACACUGUGCACAGGUGGUCUCUGCCAGGCAGGCUCAGAGGCCCCCUAGUGUUGCCCAGUCCCAGCGGACAGGUCCUGUGGGCCAAUCACAGUGGCAUGCAUCAGCCAUACACCAGUGCUGAGCCGACAGUGAACGAUCAGCCCCCAAGAGCCGGGGCCCCGUGGCCAGCAUGUCCUUUCCCUACGGGGCCACUGCAUGGCAAGCCCAGGGCUUCAAGGACAUUCUAGCUUUGCCAGUUCUGGACAUUCCACAGGAAUGGAAUCGUAUGUGUGGCCUUUCCAACCAGCUCUUCACACUUAGCGCCGUGCGUUUGGGUGCUCCCACGGUGUGGCCACGUCAGUGCUUCUGUCCUGUCUGUGACUGGAGAACCUUCCAGAACCGAUAGAUGUUCGGAAGCCUUGCCACAGGACUUCUCCCAGCCUCACUGGGUAGGACUGUCCCAGGCUGGCCUCUGAACCCACCACAGGGAAGGCUGACAGCUCAGCCCGAGCGUGGGCCGUCCUGAGGCACGGGGGUCACCAUCCCCAGGGGCUCUGGCGCUGGGACAGGGGUCAGGGUUUUAAAUGAUUGGUUGUUUGCUGCUGUCCUUCAUGGUGGAGCUGAUAAGAAGGGGAUGGGAAAACGAACGUCAGGAGACGGAUGGCACAGACGGCCGGGACGCAGGGGCGAGGAGCUGGUGUCAAAGAGGGACCCAAGGUUCCUAGGGCCGGCCCUUUCCUGAGGGCCAAGCGGCCCGGGGGAGGGCCCUGGCUCUGCUAGUGCUCAAUGUCUAGGGCCGGAUGUCCCUGCUUCACUGCACAGGGGGUCCCCUCGGAGCUCCUUGACACUCCUGGGGCAGAGAGCCCCGGCCUCCGAGUCGCUGCGCCUCCCUGCUGGGAGCUCUGGGGGGCCAGAGGCCAAGAAGCACCAGCUCAGGCAUUAACCCUUCUGCCGGAACACGGCCUCUGUGCCUCGGACUCUGCCCGGCACUCACGAGGCUCCUGAGAGCACCAGCCAGGGGAGGCCCCACUGCCGGAGGGCUGCACCCCGGGGCGUCACUGCACCUCCUCCCAUCCCGCGUCACCUCCCAGCCCUCUCACUGGGGGCCUGCCUGACCAGUCUCUUCCGGGGUGACAGAUUCAGGGGAGAAGGCCCCGCCUGCCACCCACACCCUUCUUCCCCACCCAGCCUCCCUGCACGGCCCCUGGGCGGAGCCUCCCACCUGCUCCCUCCGCUCUGGAUGCCAGGGGAUUACAGACGGCUUUUCUGGAGAGCCCAGUCUUAAAGGGCAGUUUGCAGGAGAAAAUAAACCACUAAUGGCGGCUUACUGUUGUGCAUUUUCAACUUGUUGCUGGGUGUGGGAAAGGCCCCUGUAGCCU